rnacentral:rRNA from 1 species
UACGAAGGGGGCUAGCGUUGCUCGGAAUCACUGGGCGUAAAGCGCACGUAGGCGGAUCGUUAAGUCAGGGGUGAAAUCCUGGAGCUCAACUCCAGAACUGCCUUUGAUACUGGCGAUCUUGAGUUCGGGUGAGGUGAGUGGACCUGCGAGUGUAGAGGUGAAAUUCGUAGAUAUUCGCAAGAACACCAGUGGCGAAGGCGGCUCACUGGCCCGAUACUGACGCUGAGGCGCGACAGCGUGGGGAGCAAACAGG